rnacentral:rRNA from 1 species
AUUGAACGCUGGCGGCGUGCUUAACACAUGCAAGUCGAGCGAGAAAGCUUUCUUCGGAAAGUGAGUAGAGCGGCGCACGGGUGAGUAACGCGUGGAUAAUCUGCCCUGAAGAACGGGAUAACAGUUGGAAACGACUGCUAAUACCGUAUACCCUGCAUAUUUAACUUUAUGUGGUAAAGAUGGCCUCUAUUUAUAAGCUAUCGCUUUGGGAUGAGUCCGCGUCUCAUUAGAUUGUUGGUGGGGUAAUGGCCUACCAAGUCUACGAUGAGUAGCUGGUCUGAGAGGAUGAUCAGCCACACUGGGACUGAAACACGGCCCAGACUCCUACGGGAGGCAGCAGUGGGGAAUAUUGCGCAAUGGGGGAAACCCUGACGCAGCGACGCCGCGUGCGGGAAGAAGGCCUUCGGGUCGUAAACCGCUGUCAGGAGGGAAGAAACUGUUUAGGUAUAAUACGCCUAUUCACUGACGGUACCUCCAGAGGAAGCACCGGCUAACUCCGUG